rnacentral:rRNA from 1 species
GGUAGUCCACCCCGUAAACGUUGGGAACUAGUUGUGGGGACCAUUCCACGGUUUCCGUGACGCAGCUAACGCAUUAAGUUUCCCCGCCUGGGGAGUACGGCCGCAAGGCUAAAACUCAAAGGAAUUGACGGGGACCCGCACAAGCGGCGGAGCAUGCGGAUUAAUUCGAUGCAACGCGAAGAACCUUACCAAGGCUUGACAUAUACGAGAACGGGCCAGAAAUGGUCAACUCUUUGGACACUCGUAAACAGGUGGUGCAUGGUUGUCGUCAGCUCGUGUCGUGAGAUGUUGGGUUAAGUCCCGCAACGAGCGCAACCCUCGUUCUAUGUUGCCAGCACGUAAUGGUGGGAACUCAUGGGAUACUGCCGGGGUCAACUCGGAGGAAGGUGGGGAUGACGUCAAAUCAUCAUGCCCCUUAUGCCUUGGGCUUCACGCAUGCUACAAUGGCCGGUACAAAGGGCUGCAAUACCGCGAGGUGGAGCGAAUCCCAAAAAGCCGGUCCCAGUUCGGAUUGAGGUCUGCAACUCGACCUCAUGAAGUCGGAGUCGCUAGUAAUCGCAGAUCAGCAACGCUGCGGUGAAUACGUUCCCGGGUCUUGUACACACCGCCCGUCAAGUCAUGAAAGUCGGUAACACCUGAAGCCGGUGGCCUAACCCUUGUGGAGGGAGCCGUCGAAGGUGGGAUCGGUAAUUAGGACUAAGUCGUAACAAGGUAGCCGUACCGGAAGGUGC